rnacentral:pre_miRNA from 1 species
AGUAAAAUUGCUGGGUCAUAUGGUAAGUCUAUUUAACUUUUUAAAAACAGCCAAACUGUUUUUAAAAGUGGCUGUUCUGUCUUAUAUUUCAAUGGUAAU